AUUGAACGCUGGCGGCAUGCUUUACACAUGCAAGUCGAACGGCAGCGCGGGCUUCGGCCUGGCGGCGAGUGGCGAACGGGUGAGUAAUGCAUCGGAACGUGCCCAGUAGUGGGGGAUAGCCCGGCGAAAGCCGGAUUAAUACCGCAUACUACCUGAGGGUGAAAGCGGGGGACCGAAAGGCCUCGCGCUAUUGGAGCGGCCGAUGUCGGAUUAGCUAGUUGGUGGGUUAAAGGCUUACCAAGGCGACGAUCCGUAGCUGGUCUGAGAGGACGACCAGCCACACUGGGACUGAGACACGGCCCAGACUCCUACGGGAGGCAGCAGUGGGGAAUUUUGGACAAUGGGGGCAACCCUGAUCCAGCCAUGCCGCGUGCGGGAAGAAGGCCUUCGGGUUGUAAACCGCUUUUGUUCGGGAAGAAAUCCUCUGGGCUAAUACCCCGGGGGGAUGACGGUACCGGAAGAAUAAGCACCGGCUAACUACGUG
rnacentral:rRNA from 1 species